UGCACAGUUGCAGCAAUUCGCGAACAGGGGGCUGUUUAGCCCGAAUUUUGAGUGCUUGACAGCUUUUUCCACCUCUAAAACCCACCAAUGGAUGGCCAUGCAUGUCUUGGACACCUGUGAGCUUCCUAUAACAGCUGAAACCUCCUUAAAUCAGAUUAAUUCAUCAAUUCUUGAGCACUUGUGUAGUAACCAAGAUCACUAGCAAACUUCAAAAAUUCACAAGAGCUUUCCAGGAGCUUUCUGAUCGUCAAGGCAACUUCCAAGUGCUAUCUAGGCAUCAAUAGGACCUUUCCUAUUCGAAUGCUUGUUUCCGAUUUAUGCAUAAAGAGGCCCGGUAAAAGCUACCACCACUUAUCGUUUGUGACUUAUACUUGCUCAGGUACUAUACGGAAAUAGGCUGGUUGUUUCCUAAGAGCGUCCACUAUAGUCUCGCAAGCUUGGACGACAAAUAUCUGUU
rnacentral:lncRNA from 1 species